UGACGUAACUGCUACGUUGUACCCGGAUGGCCUCUUCCUCAAUCUUCAGGGGUACGCGUCUUCCGGCCAGGAUAGAAACGUUUCUGGAGAAAAUAACAGAAGUUAUUUGAAUUCAGAUAAGCUUAAAGGAAAAGAACAAAACAAAGCUAUAAAGAAAAUUGGAAGUUAUUCAUUGUCAUUCAUCAUAAACAAGCUCAGAGGCUGGGAUAUUUGGCACGAUGACAAUGAAACUGCAGGAAAUUGAGCACACUCCAAUGUUGGUGAGGACGGUCCAUCCAUUCUGCAUAUGUCUGCGUCUUUGGGACUUAGAGUCUGGCAAGUAGAAGAGGGAUUUCAUCUUGUUGGAAAAUAUAAGUUGGAAAAUCAACCCACAUGAAAUUGCAGAAGCCAAGGGGGUCUCACUCUCUCAUCCAUGCUGGAGCAUGGGGGUACAAUCAUAGCUCACUGCAACCUUGAACUCCUGGGCUCAAAGGAUCCUUCCAGUUCAUCCCCCUCUGAGUAGCUCGGAUUACAGGCAUACACCACCACGCCUGGCUGAGUUCUCAAUCUUGAAAGAUUGAUUUAGUUCUCAUGUAAAUGAAUUAGUUCCUGUGGUAGUGGGUUGUUAUAAAGCCAGGAUGCCCUUCGGUUUUCUCCUCUUCACACAUGUCUACUUUCCCAUUGCCCUUCUCCACCAUGUUGUGAUGUGGCAUGAAAGUCCUGUCCAGAAGCCAGGGCCAUGCCCUCGAAUUUCUCAGUCUGUGGAACCAUGAGCUAAAUAAACUUCCUUUAAAAUAAGUUUUUAGGUAUUCUGCUAUAAGCAACACAAAAGGUACUAAUACAGCAUUGUUUUAAAUUUGUAUGAAUUUCUUUAUUGUGUGGCUUAAUAGAAAGCUAGAUUCUUAGGUUUGUUUCUCUAAACAUUCUGUUAUAAUCUUACACAUUAAACUCUGGAAAACUCUGUUGUACACUUGUGAGAGAAUGAGAGUGAAACAGAGAAAUUAGCAUCUUGGUUUAUUAUAAAAAUAGUUUGGAUCUUUUGAAACCUUUAAAGAGUCUUAGGAAACCCUGUGGUUCUCUGGCCGUGCUUUGAGAACCACUGGUAUAGGGUAAAUCCACUGCCAAGUUAAUCUUUUGUUAUGCUAUAUGUUUUAGCUUGUUUUCAUCUACUAUUCUCUGAAUUUGAGCUUCAGCAUUUCAACGUAUUGAUUAUGAUUUUCGCUUUUUUUUUUUUUUUUUGAGACAAAGUUUUGC
rnacentral:lncRNA from 1 species